rnacentral:lncRNA from 1 species
UUUGAUUCUCUUUAGAGAUAAAUAGAAAAAGUGUGUGUGUGUUUGUGUGUAUAAGAGAGAGAGAGUGUAUAAGAGAGAGAGAUGCUGAGAAUGGUGGGAGCUCUUGUUGUUGGUAAUGGUAAUUACAGUGGUGCAAAUGUUGUGUAUAAUUAUCCCAUGAGUUUAUUGGUGCUUUGCAUGGUUAUGGCAUCUUUAGUGGUGAUCGCCAUGGCCAUUUUUGCUUGUGGAGAUGAUGCUUCAAGUGAAGGCUCCAGCAAACGGCAUGGUGUUAACCCUGCGGCCGAUUUCAAUGGCGGUAGUGGCAAAGGCGGUGGUGAAAACAGUGGCAACUAAUUAAUUAGGUUGUGGAGAAUGCUCGCUAGUAGCGGUUGCAGUGGCAAUGUAAUUUAGUUUAUUAAAAAUAGUGUUCGCUUUGUGUAAUUGGCUAGUCCCGAAUAUCUUAUUUGCUUAAAUAGAAUUGUUCUUUGAGUGUAAUAAGAUGUGAAUGAGUAUUGCUUGUUGUCGAUUAUGAGCUAUUGUCUCAAUAUUUUUUAAAAAGUACUUUUGUUGUGUAGUAAUAGUGGUGAUUUUUUUGCAUAGAAGAGUACUAACGUACUUUUCUGAUUGUAUAUAUACUAGUAUAAAUUCAUAGAUUGAGUUCAUUUUGUAAACAAUUUUGUGUAGUACAGCUGGUAAGUAAAAAUAGAUUAUACAAAUUAAACAGUUUUUCUACAAAGAAUAAGUGGAUCCUCAUUUGUGAAUCUACUUUGUCAUUGAUCUAGAUCUGUCCAUGUCAAUAUGCUAUGAUGAAAGUUAAUUAAGCUAAUGUGGAUUAUUCUCAAGUAAACAGUAAAAAGGUGUAAUGUGCUUCUACAGCAACAACCAAAAAAAAGAAGAAGAGAAAUUUAAUUAAAUAAAUUUGGUAGUUCUUCUCUGAGUAAUUUCAAUUAAACAAUGCUUAUAUGAGACUCUAUCUAGUGCAAACGAGCCGUUAUUUAUUUACUUAUUUAUUUAGACAUUAAUUACAAGCUAUAAAAGGGCUUCUAUAUAGGAGGUUGUAGGAUUUUUUUUCUUUUUUUCUCCUUUUCUUUUUAAUCUCAAAAUAAAAAAAAAAAACCUAUGUGGAUUUUCCACAGCAGCGAAACAUUGAUCGUACGGAAUUUAAUUUUUAAUUUAACAAAAAGGGUCAUUGAUUGAGAUUCCAAAUGGUAACAUGCAUGCGAAAUGACUUUGGGCCAAAAGGAACCAAUUGGGUGCAAUACGUGUACUAGGAUCACAAGGAAUUUUCUAGAAAAGUAGCGUGGCCUAAUUUAAAAUUGCUUUCCUUGGACACUGCAAUAAAUGUAUAAAAACGAACCAAAAGGACCGCACAAGAACAUGACAGGGCUAAAUCAUGUCAUAGAUAAAGUUAGGGAAAACUUCAAAAAACCCCCUGUGGUUUCGUAGUUUCUCACUUUGCCCCCCUAUGGUUUAAAGUAUAUCAAUUUGCCUCCCUGUGGUUUCGUUUUUAUCUUUUCGGUAGCUUUUUCGUUAAUAUUUCGUUAAAUUAUAUACAAAAAACUUUAGAUACCCAUCUAGAUUUAUCAAAUAUUCACUUUAGUACCCUUUAAUUUUAACUUUAUUACUGAUUUAAGAAAAGAAAAUAAUGAAAUUGAUAAGAAAAAGAGAAAAACAAAACCACAGGGGGGCAAAUUAAUAUAUUUUAAACCACAGGGGGGCAAAGUGAGAAACUACGAAACCACAGGGGGGGUUUUUGAAGUUUUCCCAUAAAGUUAUUUAUAAGAAGAAGCAUUGUGAUGGAUUUACUAUCUUAUAAUAAAAAUUUCUGCAAGUGAAAAAUUGUUUAAAAUAUAAAAUAUAUUGUAAUUAUUGGUGAAAAAGAUUGACACAUAUUAUACAGAUAAUCAAUUAAUUUGUCCUGAUAUCAUUGUUUGGAUAAUUUUUUGUUUGUUUUAUUUUGCGAAUAAGAUGGAUAAUGAUGAAUUGUCAAGGGAUUAAUAUGCAAAUGAUAUUAUGGGUGGGAUUGUUAUUAUUAUUAUUAUUAUUUAGGUUAAAGCAAAUCAGUAAGGAAGCGUAAUCUCUAUGUUACAACUUAAUUAUUAAUAAUAACAUAACAUAAAGUCUUCGCGUUGAAAGCUCCCAACCAUCUUUUCCGGACAAAAAUUGUAUGGGCAUCCUCCCCAAACUAAAAGUUUGGGGAGGAUGUGGAUGGGCGCCGCAUGGCCCGCGCGCGUCCAUCCUCGCCCUCCUCUCCCCUCUGCCAACUUCUCUCUCUCUCUAAAAAACGGAGCUCAUAAUUAUUUUUUUUUUUGGGUUUCCGAGGGUUGCGAUGGGCGCUGCGCCGCACUGCAUCAUCCCCAAACAACUUGUUUGGGGACGAUGCCCAGAAAAUUUUUGCCCCUCUUUUCCUUACUCCAAAAUGCUCUUUUUUUUUUCUUUUUUUUUUUCUCCUCUAAUCCCCACACCCACUACUAUUGAAUUAAACAAAGAAAAAAAAAUAAAAAAAGAGAGAUUUUUUACUUAGACUUAAUUUUGUAUUGAGAUCUAUCAAACAUUAUUAUAUAAAAUAAAGUUAAAAAAAAUAUAUAAAAAUAUAUUUCUGUGUUCUUCGAUAAUACUGCAGAAAAUAUAUCGUAACCGACUCAUCGCGAAAUACUAAACGUAAUAUUACGUAUGAAAAUAAAAAAUAUUUUCUAACGUACUUUCUCAUCGCACGUAACCUAAUCUUCCCGCAAUCCUAAAACAAACCUUAAAUUUAAAUAUCUCUCUUCUUUUGCCAAUCUCACGCGAUAUCCGAAACCCUAAACCUAGAAAUCCACCUUCGACAAGUUCGACCCUUUCUUUUUUUCCUCUUUUCUUUCCGCACAAAAAGGUCGGUCGUCUCCUCUCUCUCUCUCUCUCUCUCUCUCUCUCCCCUCCUCCCCCCCCUCUACGUUCCCAUCAAACCCUAGAAUCCCUGAUCCCCCUUCUCCAAAAUCGUCCAUUCUGACAUCUGUGUUGUGUUGAUUCGCAGAGAGAGAGAGAGAGAGAGAGAGAGAGAGAGAGAGGGGAAGAGGACCUCUGAAGAAACCCUAGGCGAUGGAUCAGAAGAGCCACGGGACCCCUCCUCCGGUGAUCGGCGUCGGAACACCGGUGGCCUACCCCGCGGCCGCCGCGGCCGCGCCCUACCAAGCGUACCACCACCUCUACCAGCAGCAGCAGCAGCAGCAGCAGCAGCAACAGCAGCAGCUGCAGCUCUUCUGGGCGGAUCAGUACCGCGAGAUCGAGCAGACCACCGAUUUCAAGAACCACAACCUCCCCCUCGCGCGCAUAAAGAAGAUCAUGAAGGCCGACGAGGACGUGCGCAUGAUCGCCGCCGAGGCGCCCGUCGUGUUCGCCCGCGCCUGCGAGAUGUUCAUCCUGGAGCUCACCCACCGCGGCUGGGCCCACGCCGAGGAGAACAAGCGCCGCACCCUGCAGAAGAGCGACAUCGCCGCCGCCAUCGCCCGGACCGACGUCUUCGACUUCCUCGUCGACAUCGUGCCCAGGGAGGAGGGUAAGGACGAUUCCAUCCCCCGGCCCAUCGGCGCCCCCGCCGCCGAUCCCCUCACCUACUACUACGUCCAGCAGCCCCCGCCCCCGCAAAUGUGAGUCCUCAUAUCACCUCCGCUGCGCCUGUCCAUGUCUCUGUUCGUUGCAUGUGAUGGUUAGCCCUUAAUUUGCGAUUAUUUUGGAUGGGGAUGGCUUUAUCGCUUUUGGCUGUGUGAUCUAUCUUGCAGUAUAAUUAUCCUACUAAUAUAUUUGCUUGCUGUGACUGUUGGGAUCAUAUUAUAUAUGUUUUAUUGAUUUCAUCUAAUGAGAGUUAAAAAAAAAUAAAAAAUAACUAGUUGUAAAUUAUGUAGGAUUUGGAUCUUUUGUUGGAUCUUUUGGUGGAUCAUGUGUCAUGCUCAUGUAUCGUGUUUGCAGUUUCUGUGUUUCUUGAUGUAAAUGGGUCUCGAACUUCCUUGUAGAAAUUUUGAUCGAGGAUUGCCUGUUAUUCGUCGCUCCUUUAUUCGUUGUUGUUAAGAAACAAGAGAAAUGAGAAUUGAGAAUGGGGAUUUUGUGAAUUAUCUGGAGAGUACACUUAAGCGGAUCAGCUGAAUAUCAAUCUGACCACUUCAUCAGUUUGUUGCUAUAUUUUCUUACUUUCUCAUCCAAAUCAAGCCACCUUCUUUUCUUUGUGAGUUGUUACUUCCAAAACCUUGACUAAUUGAAGAAUGGUUAAAUCUAAAAGACGGGAUUUCGUUGAUUCCCUUCUGCAUUAGCAUAUCGAAAUUUGAGAUAUUCGCUUUAAGUUUUUGCUGCUUUACCCGUCCUUAAACAGCAGUACUGCUGUUGUUGUUUGGCGGUUGGUGAUGUCUUCAUAUGUACAUGGUAAUUUUGGGGUUAUAGUUAAGUUAUUUUUGGGGUUAUAGACUUUUAAGUCUUUAACAAAUGUUCUUUCUAAUAAGAGGUCAGAUGUCAUUUUGAUGUCUUACUUCUGUGAUUUUUGCAAUAUCGUGAUUUUGAUUCUGAUAUUUCUCUGCUUUGAAAGUUGUAUCGGAAUCAAAAUUUCCAGAUGCAACAUUCUAAAAAAAUUGAGUGAGGAAGUAAGCUUUGAAACUUUUGUUAGGUAGAUAAAUGGUGCAUCAGAGUUUGUUGGGGUAAAUGAAGUAGUUAAAAAGCAGUGUAAACACUGGAAAAGGAUUGCAGCGCCAAGAGUUUUCUGAGGAUCUAUCAAGCACCAUUAAGAAUUCUUCAAGGAUCUUUCAUUUCCUCUGGACAAGAUUCCUUUGAGAUCUCAGCUUAUUCAAUCAAUAGUAAUUUUAAGGUUCUUUAAUGAUUAAGGAGCAGGUUUACUGGGCUCGAACAGGAUGUAAUGGUGUAAAAGUAGAGGUUCAGGCGGCAAACGAAGGAAUCAAUACAUGCAGCUCAGGUGGGGUAGCCAUUAAUUCCAUUAUGUGAAGUGAUCUAGUUUGUUGUUGUUCCGUUUGAUCUAUCGAUUCAGGUCUUUUGGGGGCUAUCUUUCAGUUUUUUGGGAUGAAAGAAUGAUCAUGAUUUGCGGUUGUUGUGUGCUUGCUUCUUUAGUUGUUUGGUUGUUUGAUCUCUCCAUCCGGUCAAUCAUUCAUUGAUUAAUGUGCUUUAACUUAAUUUGGGCCCUGCAGUCCUCGUCUCUUCUUCUGCAUCCUUGCUCUUCUUUGGGCUUUAAUCUUUAAUCUUGGAGAUUUAUUUUUAAGUUCUGAUUUGCUAGCUUCCUUGGCAUCUUUGGUUUUGCUCAGUAGGAGUUUCCUUGACACUCCUUGUUAGUUAUUCUAUGCAGAUAUAUUCUGUGAAUGAUGCUCUAACACCUUGCACUUCAUUUGUGGUGAAUUUGUGCAUCUUUGGAAGACUUUUUUGCAGGUUUUAUUAUUUAUUUGACACAGUUUGAUUUGUGAAUGAAGUUGCGAAGUUGUGGAUGAUUUUGAGAAUUUACUAUUGACUUCUCGACAGUUUUUUUUUUUCUUUCAAAUUUCCAUUUUAUUUUGGGUAUGAUUUGUGUGAAGCAACUUAGAGAACCAUCAGAUGCAUCGGAGAAUCUGUUGUUGAUUUUUCUGUGGUUUUCAUUGUGAGUCCAGGGGAAAAUUUGGGAACCUGCUGUUGAUUUCUCUUAGAUUUCUUCUUAAGACAUUGUAUUGUUCUUAAUUUAGUAAAUCUAUUGUCCAUCCCCUGUGCCAAACAUAUAUAUUCGUCUCCUUUUUCGCUUCAAUAUUUUAUUCUCUCUUUCCUAUUAACUGGAUUGAUGCCAGGCUCAUCUUGCUUUCCAGAUUCAUCAGUGAUAUCUCAUACACUUUCUUAUAUACCCUAAUCUAUUAAAUAUUCUGCCAUCAAAGCCUCCAUGUAUAGCCCAUGUUCUUCGCAAUGACCAUGUAUAGCCUAUGUUCUUCGCAAUGACCAUGUAUAGCCUAUGUUCUUCGCAAUGACAAUUAAUCUUCCGAAAAUGCUUGGCGGUGACUGGGGCCUUUGAUGUCUGAGUUUCUUGGAUAUUAUGGAGGCGCUUAUCAUGCGUGGACGCUAAUGGAAGUUGCCAGCAAGAGCUUUAUAAAACUGAACUUUUUAACCAUACACACUCAGCUUCGGUAUAUUAUACUGUCUCCAAAAUCAUACUAGAAAUUUAACUCUUUUUUACUUUUUCUUCUUUUCUUUAUGGCUUCAAAUCCCUAUUACUACUAAGAUCUCAAAAGGCAAGCACCGUCACAUACCAAUAUUACAUAAAUAUACUAUCAACUCCCUCUUGGCAAUUAAGAAAACAAACAAAAUGCAAACUUAGGCAAAACCUAAUAUGGCUCACUUCCCUCAAAGCAAACAUAUAAGCAGAAACUCUUCAAUAGCAGAACGCACAUAUAUAUUAACCUUAGGAACGUCCUUUGGUGCUGGUGCUGAUGGCCAGCAUGGAAGUCUGGGGGCAUCAGCCAGCAUGUCUGAUUCCGAAAGGCAGACGGAAUAUUGGUGAUAAGAGGGCUUAACGGCUUCUAACAUGUUUUUAGUUUACCCCCUUGUCUUGGCUCUCUUCAUGCCGGGACUGUUGUGAAAGGGGGAGACCGAACCCGACAUGUGAAUUCCUUCCUCACGGAGCGUGCCGUUGAGCAAGGCGAGCUCCCUAAGCUGCUGCUUCUUGAAGAAAUCGUGUGAUUCAUCCUGUAUGCAGAAAGAGUGAACAUACAAGUGAAUAUAAAUCUAAAAUUGACCACCAACCAUCCGUAGUGCAAGUGACAAAAUACUUAAUGGUUAGUACUCGAGAUCUUAAGUUUGAAACAUUGUUGCUUCACAUUUUCAACUAUAAGUUUAUUUAUAAACAAAAUGAACAAAGCAGGUAACAUAUUACCUUUCUCUCUCUCUCUAAAAAAAAAGACCUAUUUCUGUAAUAGCAAUUCUACUUGGGUUAGAAACUUUAGGAGCUUCUAGUUGGGAUGGAAACCUAAAUUUAGCUUUGAAACCCCAAAAGAAGUUUCACCUUUACCCACAGAGAGAAGCUGUUUAGGGAAUUUAAUUGAAAAAUGUUAGGCUUUCUUGAAAAUUUGUACUGCAGCAGCUGUUCUACAAAAGUACCAGCCAAGCUAAUACAUAAGUAAUAGAGCAACUGUGGUAAAGCGCAUAUUAGAACAUACCAUAGGCUUGAGCAGAUCUUCAAGGAUAUCCCGAGCUUGCAUCAGACGAGCAUCAAUAAUUUCAGCGGGUAGCUCUGCCUCAACCAAUAUGUGAAGGGGUUCGUUCAGAUGUUCAUACCCUGGUUUUCCUCUCAUCAUCUCCUCCUAUCGAGCAGAAAGAAUGUGUAGAUGAAAAACAAUGAUAUUUUACAGUUAUUAUUUUCCCACUUUAGCAACAAGAGGUAUUUCCUGCCCACCCCUUGAAUGAACCAACAUGUUCACCCAAAAUCAGAAAAAUAAAAGAUCCUAUACCCUGUCAUUUCUUGUGCUAGACUAGAGAAAUACAAAGAGUUAUGUCACGGUUGAUUGACGUGGCCAAGGAUGUUCAACAGAGAACGCAAGAUAACAGAUGAGUAGCUUUAUUUCAGUAAGGAGGCAUAAAGCGUGGGACAAAGACUUAAAAAUGAUAUGAGAGUAUAUAAUGUGAAAAAUCAUGAUGACACUUUCUGUUUUGGAAAAACCUUGCUGGGACAACUGUAUGGCAAAGAGAGAUUUAUAUAGCUAUCUCCGGAGAGUCCAGGGCCAAAGAAAAUGACAAUUAUUGGUUUACUAGCCAGGCUGUCAAGCUCCCAAGGGGGUAAAUUUAAGAUCACCUCUUACAUAGAAGCCAUGACGCCAACUCAAUUACACCAUCACGACAUACCUCCAAGAAGUUGAUGUGAUGUAUAAUGAUAUGUGUGGCAAAAGUUGAUGCAAGAUGUAUAUAAAAGCAUAUAUUUAACCAAUAGGGAAGCAUGGCUAUUACCCUGGCUGGAUCUUUGAUGCUGCCCUGACCUCUUAUUAGAACACGACAAUCAGUAGUUGCCUCAACUCGCUUAAGUGAAUUUCCUCUAGGACCCAGGAGGCGGCCAACAAAGUUGUACUAGGAUAUAAGAGAAAAGAAAAUCACAAGAGGUAAAAGUUUGAGAGUAAACAAGAGUUUUUUUUUAAAAAAAAGUUAACUACUUACUGUUGGAUACUUGUCUACAGGAAUAUCAACCUUGAUGGUUUUCUUGACAAUGAGACCUGAGGAGUUACUUUGGGACCCGAGCCAAUUGUGAGCAGAUGAAGGCUGCAAAAAUCCCCACAUCUGCAUGUUAUAACUAAAAGUUGCUACAAAAAGCUGCAUUUAUUAGGAUAUCUUCGACAUAUAGUGCUUGUUUGGUUGAUGAGGCAUGAAAGUUUAAAAUAUUUAGACAAAUAGUUUUGAGUUACAAUUGAUAUAUAGUACAUUAAUCACUUGAAGGAGAUGCAUGCAUUAAAAGGAUACAACCAGAACCUCUGCUCAUUCAUGAUGUGCAUUUAUUGAUUUGGGAAAAUGGACAAAUGUCCCUGGAACUAUGAAUCUAUGAUCCAGUAGUAGUCAGUCCCCGUAAGUCAAAUUCUGGAAUUUGACUUCAAAAAGGAAUAGAAUUUUACCAUUAAACAAAUUGGAAUGUUCUAUAAUACAUACCAGUUAAAUAUCAAAAUCAGAAGUUACGUUCACCGUAAAAAUGGAGCAAAAGUUUGAAGGAAUAUUUAAGAUGCCCUCUCAUAGCUGUAGGUUGACUGAAUUAUCUCCAUAAUGCAAUUGAAGUUUGCAGUAUGUGAUACACAGCCGAUGUAUAGAGCUUGCGCCAAGGUUACGAGCACCAAAGUUACAACUAAUCAAGCUAACAUAAGAAAUACUAAACCCAGCUACUCUAUGAAAGUUAUGUGCAAUAUAGAUUAACCACCCUCUAACAGAUCAGUUCACGUAGACACCUUAGUAUAGUCAACUCACCGGGAAAACACUACUCACAACUCGGCAAUCGUAGUUAUAGAAUGUAAUGUUGUAUAGUACAUGGAGAUUUUGAUGUUAGCAUUGCAGUUAAUCCAAUAUUGGUAAACUAUUAAGGCUAAAUAUAAAUUUAGAGAGGUCAAACAGACCAAGUGAGCAUAGCAACUCCGGAACUACGAAGCUAGCGUAACAAGCAAAAAAAUUGUAAGGAUCAAAAAAAGUUCAUAGGAAGUUAAUUUCAGUUAGAAUGAAACCUACACAUCUCCAGAGCGGUAAAUUAGGCACUACAAGAAGUUAUGUUAAUGGUCAGUAUUCAUACUUCUGAUUGAAAUGCUGAUGCCCACCCAUUCAUUUCAGCUGCUCUUCCAUUUGAAAAUAGUCCUCCGGUUGUUAGGGGGCUACCAUGUUCAAGCCCACUUUGGUUUAAAAGAGAUGCAUUCUCCAAAAGAGUAGAAACACGCAAUAUUUCUGCUUCAAAUGUCAAUUUCAAUCAGAAGAAAUGUAGUUAGCAUUUGUUAAGAAAUCAGCCAUAAAAAAAUUGCAUAUAUGGGACUGACUAAUACGUUAGUGAAAAAUCAGCGGUUCAAAAAGAUUUCCUUAGAACUUUUAAAAUGUGGAAGUUUUGGUUAACUAAACAUCCAAAUAAAGCAAUAUUGGAAUUAGAAUAACCGUAUGUUGCUCAUACAUAAUGCCAAAAAAUUGUUCUCGAAAAGAACAUAGUACACAUACUAAUAUGUUUGAAAAUUAAUCAAAUAAAGGAGAGUUGAAAGUAAAACACAUUCGAAAGGAAAUACAUAAGUCAAUUUACAAAUUUACUCCAAAGAAGAUUUGGGUAAAAGCAACUCAAUGACAAAUCGAGCCAUUCCUAAUCUAUGUCAGUAUAGUUGACAUAAUGAUGUUCUUCCUGCUACAUUCUGUCCAAUCCAUCAGAAUUUGGAAGAAGAAAUCCUUGACAACAAACUCACAGGUGCUGCUAUUACCACAAUUUAAUCUAAAUGUAUACUUGCGCUAUCAUUUAAUAAACCAUUAUGUGUAAUUCAUUGAUCUGCAGUUGGAAAAGGUUAAGUCUGUCUUAAAAAACAAAACACUACAAAAUCUUGACAGGACAAGCACUAGAAAGUUCCAUGAACCUCUCAAGAGGAUAAAAACAGGUACAUCAUUGAUACCAAGACUAAAAUAAAGCAACUUUUCACCUGAUUAUGUCCUGAAAAAGGUUAUUUUGGAGGCAUCAUUCAUUCAGAUGUAUGAAGCCCAAGAUUCAAAAUAAAAAAACUUUUCAUAUACAUGCUGUCUUCUGUCAAGGGGCUGAUAAGUAGCCGGAGAAAAUGAACGCUCGUGUCACACUCAACAGAGAGCAAUUAAAAUUUAUGACAAAAUACAUUACUUCAGUUGAGAAGAAAUAAAAAUUGACUACCAAGAACUUUAGGCAGCAUGUGAAUGGGAAAUUACAGGGCCCAGAUAUCUCAUCAAAUGCAUUAGAAUUGUGACAACAAAGACUUUACAGUAAAUACAAGGCUAAACAGAAUAAGAAACAAUCAAGGCAGCCACCGCAGGAGGAUGCCAUUCUUUAAAACGAUCAGAAGGAUGAAAGAGACAGUUAAACGAAAAGAUAAAGACGAGCUAAAAGAAGUAACACAGCAUAGUAUUGUCAAAGAUUUCUCAGCAGAGAGGAACAAGAAGUAACUUCUAAUUAGGUUUACAAAGCAGUGAAUACUUGAUAGAAACAGUUCAGAUAAUUGGGUACUACAGAUCAGCAGUGGAUAGCCUGUAGAAAUAUUACUGAUUAAAUAACAAGAAAUAAUUCAGAUAUGUAAUAAAAUAAUUCGGAUAUGUAAUAAGGUUCUACAGCUCACCCUGGUUCAACAGCCGAUAGCAAUUCGGAAGCACCGGCACGAAAGGGCUGAGUUUGUGGCGCUCAGCGAACAAUUCAGCAAGAUACCUGUCAAAAGAGAUCAAAUCAUCUCAGAAAAUACCAUCUAGUAAGCCGCGUACACAAUCAUCGCAUGCUAUUAAUGUGAAAUAAUAACACCCGCAACCCCAAGAACCGAAGACUAGCUAAUUUGAACAAAACUCGUAUGUAUAUCCACUCAAAACAACUAGAUCUCGCAUAUUUAUCACUAAAAAGGAUUAAAAACAUGCAAACUAAGACGAUCUCUGAUUCCAAACGCAAAUCGAAAGAUCUCAACACCUCGUCAGAUGAUCAGUCAAAUAACACCAAACAUCAUCUCCCUACUCUCAGGGGUCGGAAUCGGAUCCGAAUCGAACCCCAGCGAUUUGAAAACGCAUCACAAGAGAUUUGACCGAAAGGGGGGGAGGGAGAAGGGGCGAAGGCGUACUUCUCCUGGUCGGCGAUGGAGGAGGCGGAGGAGCGGAGGGCGGCGGAGAGGUGGUGAGGUGAAGGGGAGGCGGUGGAGGGGGAAGGAGAGAAGGCCAUGUACCUGCCGGAAGACAUGGCUCCGGCGAGGUCUCCGCUCGGAUUCCGGCCAGAUUCGAUCGGAGGCGAGAAUAUUCCGGCGAGAUUUGUGCCCUAGAAGCCACUCCCCCCCCGCCCCCCUCUGCCUCUGUGUAUGUGUCUGUGUCGGCUCCCAGUAGAGAGAGAAGAGAGAAGAGAGAGAGAGAGGGAGAGGGUUUGAGGUUAUAAGGGAAGGUAAUAAUAACAGGAAGAGGUUGUGAGAGAGAGAGAGAGAGAGAGAGAGAGAGAGAGAGAGAGAGAGAGGGGGGGGGAGAGGGAGGGAACUACUACAACAGUGAACACCGACGGGGUAACUUGGUGUUUACAGUUCAGUGGUGGUUUCACACACCGCGGUACAAAUUAGUAUCGGUGGUGUUCAGUGCAACGGUUAUAUGUGGUAGUCGUGAGCACAGUCGCAUGUGGUGUGGGCCCACCUGUGUAAUAUAUUAAAGAUAUUUAAAUUGUUACAAUUGAAUUCAAAGUUAGAUAGUUAUAACAGAAUUUAGUGUGAUAGUAAAAUUAUUAAAAAUUUGUUAGUGGUAAAAAUAGUAAAUUAUCGUAAAUUUUUAAUAAAAAUUAUUAGCAGUUAAUUAAUAAGAAUAUACUAAUUUUUAGCCAUCUUUGAACUCAAAUGGUUUGAUAAGUUAAUUUUGAACUUAGGAUCUUUUCUAUAUAAUCUUAUUUACCGUUUAUGCUUUGUAUCAAAUGCCUUAACUAAGGCAGUAGGAUUGAAAAUUGUAUUGGAUUUGAGUUCUUUGUUUGAAUCGGUGGACCAGGCAGAGGCAAUAGUUUCUUCUAGACAUGUGGGGUCCACGUAGGAAAGGCUAUUAACAGGGAGAUAUUUAUUUAGACAUCGUACGUGGUGGGUAUGGUGUAUGAGAGGCAAUAAUUAUAUAUUAGAGAAAAUUUUAGAACCCUUGUGAUAGAGCCCAAUUAACGUUAAGGUUCAAUACAAAAGAGAUUAAAUCAAAUAUAUAUAUAUAUAUAUAUAUAUAUAUGACAAAAUAAGAUAUAAUAAGAAGAAAAGCUCUAAAAUUCUGAAAGAAAUAUAUUUUUUUUUCUGGCAAAUUUGACUAUCUGUAUUCUGUAUGGUAUGGUCCUUCAAUUAUGGGCAAAUCGAUCGUUAGCCACAUGAUCUGAAGGAUGAGCCCACUGCAUGGGCUCCACAAGAUGAACCAAUCGCGGAGAGGUUUGUAGAAAGUGCUGUGAACGGUGCUAUAUAUGCUCACAAAUAAUUUUAAGUGCUCGUAAAGUUUAUACAAUAGAGAUUUAUACUAUUAAUAGUAACAAAAGAUUAAUUUACAGAAUGGAACAGUUCCUAAAGGUGUAAAGUACAUAGAUAAAAGAAAGUUAAUGGUGCGAUUUACUGUCAAUGGAAUGAUCAUUAUCAUUGUUGUUGUUAGCUAUUAAUUUCAUUAUGAAAGCUCCUUUUUUAAAAAAGUCAAGAAGAAUAAAAUUUAAAGAAAAACAUGUCCACAUUAUCAUGUGAUAUCUAUUUUUUAGAAAAAAAAAAAAAAUGCAUUCAUUGUCGACUGAUGAAGAGAGAGAGAGAGAGAGAGAGAGAGAGAGAGUUUGGCAUAGGUAAUGAAUAGACCCGUGCGACCUUUCUUACUAGUUAACGUCGAUCUCGUAAAUGGCUAGUAGAUGGAUACAUAUUAAAUAUAGAAAAAUGAGAACAUUAAUGCUAUAUUUUAACAUUUAUAUGCGCAGAAAUAUUAACUAAUGAUAAUAUAUAGUUAUGUACGUUUAUAGGUACAUGCAUAAAUCGAUAACAAAUUAGGACUCUUUACAUGGCGAAACAAGGAAACUGAAAAAUUAAGAUGGCCCAUGUAGCAAAACUCUUUCAACUAAUGUUUCUUUCCUCUUUUUUUUUUUUCUUUUUUUUUCUUUUUUUUUUUUUGCCACUUGGUUAAAGCUAGUUUAUUACAAACCUAAGCGAAAUCACAGCUAAUUAUGAAGUAACAGUCCCAAGCUUAAGGAGUAAUCUGAUUACGUCCUUGCUUGCAACGUGAAAUCGCCUAAUAAUAAUACUAUUCAAACUAAUGGAAAAUAAAACGCCAUUAAGUAAGAAAAAAGAGAAUACGCCGUAGACAAUUUGAAAGAAGCCUUAAUUAGGAGACAAUGAAUAGAUGGGGUUGGUAAGUCCCAAUCAGACAGGCUGUAAUUGAAAAUUAAGCCACCCUAUAAAAUAUAUAAUCAACGCAUAAUAAUCAGUGAGAAUCUAGCCACAGUUCACAAACAAUCAUAUGCGAAACACUAAUAAAAGCUAGCUCCCCUUGUCUUAGGGUUGUUGGGGAGGCAUAAGUCCAUGAUUAAGGGGAUUAAUUGAUAAAACAGCAACAUUCAAAGACAAGACCAGCAGGUGGUUGCGGCAAAAUAUUGUUGGCUCCAAUGAAUCGCCGCUUUGCAUAGUCGCGUAUUCGGUUGCUCUGAUUAGAGCACUUUCGAUUCCACAGAGUAAUUUCUUUUUUUUUUUAAUGUUCUUUUACCCUUGGAGGGUCGUUGGAAAGAACAAUGUUACACGCACGUGCAACUUAAGAUAAUGAAACUCUGGCUUAACCCAGAUUAUCGGCCCUCAAAGUUUAAAGACCCUACCCGUUUAAAGACCCGACCCGGCCAGAUGAACAGAGCUAGACAAACGACCCAGUUAGACUAAUCUAUUCCACAGGAAUGAAAUGAUUCGAAUUAAAGCUGCUUCAAUCAGAGCAUCAUGUUCCCCUCCCGAAGCACACUACGCAGCAGCGAUGAACGUCCAAAAUGGAUUAAAUCUGACACUUUUAGAUGCCUCCUAAGUUGCUUGAACAUGACUAGAGUCAUCUGUAUAUAUUUCAUGACAUUAUUCAAGUCAAUGGGUAAGUGGAUAACAGCAUCAGAUGCGAAAUGCUUCCUGCGCAAUCUAUUAUAGAAAAUAAAACUUAUACCCUACCAUCCGAUAGUAUGAAAACCUCUUAUGUUUUUAGUAUUAAAACAAAAAAAAAAUGAUAAAACUAGUAAAUAAAUAUGAGACUGGCUAUGAUGCACAAUUUACAACCUACACAUAUAUGUACACGGAGCACUGCUCAUAUCAGAUUAACUUAAUUACCAAUGUGAGAGUAAACAUUACCCAAUAACCAUUGCCCGGGCUCAUUAGUAGCCAAAACCUAACUAGUGAUUAUGUCCCAGCCAACAUUAUAACCAAAAACCACCAGAAAUUACAGGACCCCGCAGACCGCUAACCAGAAACCACCAAAGGCGGGAAAACGGGAUUAACAUCUUGCCACACAAAUUUUAACUGAUAGAAACUCUAAUAAUAAUAAUAUGAUUAAGGUACCUUACUUCCAGAACAUUACCUAGAAGCAUCUAUAUUCACACGACAAGAGCAAUGUAAAAUCUAUAAAGUAGCUAUCCAGGAACAAGCAAUGACCUGCCAAGUAAUUAAACAACUGCCUAAAGCUUUUUAUUCACUGAUAAGGGACAGCUAUAUGCAUGCGGUACUACCCAUAAGCAUCAGAGUGUGAACGUUUAGCCCAUGGCGUACUUUUGGGUCCACGAUCGGGCUGUCGACUCAUACUUGGCACGGUCAGUCUUGUACAUGUGUGCAAUUUCCGGAACCAAGGGAUCAUCCGGGUUAGGGUCCGUCAGAAGCGAGCAGAUGGACAAUAGUACCUGCAAGUUCCACAAACUAAAUGUGUUGGUGCAAUAAAAGAUUAAUAGUAUACAUAGUUUUACAUGCACUCUAGUUAAAUAACUGAAUCAUAUAAUGAACAAGCACAAAUACAUAUGCCUCAUUGUGGGGAGGAGCUACUUAUACUAUUAGGUCUGGUUUCUUCAGUUAUUAGGAAAAAACCCCACUCAGUUACAAAGCCAGGUCUAGCCAAGAACAGGGUUCGUGCAUCUAGAAGCCCUCCCAGAUCAGCCAUAUUUGUUAGUCAAACACAAUUAGCUGAGAAAACAGAGGAAAGCAACUGCGAGUUCCUAUUAUAACCGUAGCACCGAGUUAUCAGAUUAGAAAAAACUUCUUAUGUGAGGCUUUCAAGCCUAUGCAUUAACUAGUAUCUAUCUACAGAUAUUCCGUGCAUAAGAAAGGUGAAAAUGAGAAAAGCAGAUAGCUUCUGGUAUAGUAAGCUUGCUUUAGCCUCUGAAACAAGAUAAUGUCCUAGCACUGCCUAGAAUAAGGCAAAGCCAAAGAAAUGAGAUGCAAACCAUAUACUGAAAAUAACAUUUGACCAUCCCUAAUAUUGCUCUUGAUUUUCCUACAUGCAUACCACUUUGUUCUAACCGCACUGAAGAAUGUCCAACUUACAUAUCCCAGGCACUUGUCGUGCUCAUUAAAAGAACGACAAACAGAGAUAAAAAUACUCAUAUGUUAGCAACAGCUGUCACACAUACCCCAGUACCAACUUUUAAUACAUUGUGACCAAAAUAGUAAACUAACAAGAAAUAAGUUCGCAUGCUACUAGAUCUAAAUUGAAAGUUCAAUUGGAAAAUUAAAACAAAAAAAAAUCACCUGAAAUAUAAGAACUCACAAAAUCUUUAAAAGGAAUCUGAAGAAAAAUAACGGUACCUUAGAAAUAGUCAGAGCAGGGCUCCAUUGCUCCUUGAGAAUGUCAAGGCAGAUGCUACCGUUGCUGUUAAUGUUGGGAUGAAAAACCUUGGUGCGGAAUGAGACCUAAAAAACCAAGUUUUUAUUUAUAAAACACAACUAUGUAAGAUAGUCCAGCUACUGCACAUUAUGGUAAGUUUUCCUGGUCUAGAAACACCCUAAGCAACUAGGUACAACUAUAUCAGAAAGCACAAAGAAGAGGAACAAAAAAGUCAUUCUGAUUGUGUUAAUUACUUCCGCAUGUAUAUUAUAAUCUGCUAACCUUUUACUCUAGGUUUCUCUUUGCUAGUUCACAUGCUUUCCUUCGAGCAACUAGGGGCUGUCAUAAAUGGAGUAAAAAAGAAAAUACAAACAGGUACCUUGGGUGGUUUAAAUGGAUAAUCUGGUGGAAAGUGAAUGUUCACUAGGAAAACACCACCUGCAAAGGGGCUCUCCGAGGGUCCCAUGAUGGUUGCUUGCCAGUGGAACAUGUCCUCGCCAACAGGACCUAAUCACAGAACAAAAGAAAUGUAAGGGGGAAAAAAAUCCCAAAUCUUUGAGUAUUUGUAUAAAAAUAACAAUUGUUUUCAAACAAAGUCAAUUUCCAAAUCAUCAAGAUACAUGAUUAGGAAGUCAAUUAAGUAAUCAAGCCAUCAGUACACAAAUUAAUCGCAUAAACUAACUUUUAUCUGUAAUCAUCAACAAAUGCAGCUCAAAGUAAAAAAGACACAAGGGGCAAAGAUAACGCAGGUUAACUAGUACACUACAGCAUAAUUCAUAUUCCUGUUAGAUGUUAGAUGGUCAUCAUUCACAAUACGACUUUUCUACAAGCUGGUAUAAGAAGCUUCUGCAUAUGUGCCAAUAUUACACCUUGUGGUUGCUUCAGGCAGGUCCCGGCUGGUAUAGGUCUCUAUAUGUGAAUCAGGUGGUCGAACACAAAAAUUAAGAUAUCUAUAUCGCAAACAUAAUUAAGGUAUUUCUUUUAGUCCUUAUGAUUACCUGAUAAUUCAUGAACGUACUAUCUUAAUUUUAUAGAUUCUUUAUUGACCAUAAUUCUAGAUUAGUUAUCACAACCAACAGAAUGGCAUUCUAUUGUUGCAUGAACCUCAAGAUAAGAUUAAAACCUAAAACAUCUUUCAUGGUGUUAUAUUGAAAAAAUUUUAAUUAUCCUCUAUCAAGUACACAGUAGGAUAUAGUAGGAUCUAAAUUAUAUAUAGUUAUACAAAUUAAUAUCCAAAUAAGAACAAUAUUUAGUCCCAAAGACCGAAGUUCUAUACUUAUAGCAAAAUUAGGAUCAAGAACCCUAUGUCUACGAAAUCAUUCAAAUGACAAAAGCAUGGAUCAUCCUACAGCCUAUUCCUGCUAAAUAAUCGGAUCAAAUUGGGCAGUGCACCAAAUAAUCACUAGGCAAAUGCAGGUUUAUCUUUCCAUAAUACAAUAGGAAUUAAAAGCAGAUUAAGUUCAGAAUUCAACUACAAUAAUGCGUCCAAUGACACUUGGAAAAUAAUAUAAUUAACAACAGAACAAAUUUAGACAAAAUACCGACGUUUAGAUAGACAUAAAAGAAGAACAAAUUACCUGCGCUGCAAGAAACAGGAGGGUCCUUCUGCAAAUCCUUCAACUCCUUCUGAAUCCUCUUUGAAGCCAUUGAUGAGCGAUCAAAAAAGCGAACUAAAACUAAAUCUGCACGCUACAAUCAACUUACAUUAGACAACGUAUAUAAAGCAUUAGAAGGCAAAAAUAAGGAGAACGGAACAUAAACGUCACAUCAAAUCCCAAAUCUCUUCAAUAAAGCACAAUAAAUCGGAAAAAUAAUACAUAGAAACUCUAUCUAACCAAUAGGAUCCCAUUAUUGUCAACAAAAUCAAACGAGAAACCGAUCUAGGAUGAUAAAAAGUUCGAAAUCUAACGUUUAUCAAAGAACGGCGCAAGAGAUCCGAAACAAAGAACAAAGCCCUAAUUAACAAGGAUCGAAAGCAACAUAACAAGAAACAUGCGAGUAAGGGAAAUAGAUGAGAGAUCGAACAGGACCAAAACGUAGGGGGAGAUCGACGAUGAAGGAAUCCGAAUCCGUACCAAAUCGAGAGCUCCCUUGGCGUGUUAGGGUUUUGUUUCCGUUUCCUCGAUUCUUUUCGUUGGAGCCCCGGUAUAGCUUGCGUAUGAAAAAGACAAAAAGCGUCUCCCUUGUGGUAUAUAUAUAUAUAUAUAUAUAUAUAUAUAUAGAGUAGGCUACUAUACUCUUAUGAGUAUAGAGCUCUUUGUACUCAUAUAAGUUGUUAUCAAUGAUAAAGCUUCUAAAUCAACGAUAUACACCGUUAAAUAUUAUCUAAAAUAUUUGAAACUUUUAAAAAAUAAUUAAAUUUUAUAAUUUUUUAAAAUUAUAAUAAAGUUCAUUAAGCGGACAUAAAAUGAACAGUCAAAAUUGAACGACAUUCUAAAAAUGGAUCAUUGAAUCUUUCAAUUUAAAAUCGGAGUUAUUGAUAAUUAUGUAGAUAAUGAAUAGAAUUAUUUAUCAAAAAUUCAAAUAAUUUUGAAUUUUUUACACCAUUAAAUUAGCAAGUACUCCAUAUUGACCUUUAAAAGUUAUCAAUUUUGAUAUGUUCUGAUUGUAAAGUAAAUAAUGUUGAAAAAAUUAUAAAAUUUGAUUUUUAGAAAUUUCAUAAUUUUUUAAAUCAUAUUUAAUUAUAUGAAUCGUUGAUCCAUAAGUUCUAUUAUUUAAAAUAAUUUAUGAAUACGAAGGCAAUCGUACUUAUGUAUAAUAGCCUAGUUCUCUCUCUCUCUCUCUCUCUCUCUCUCUCUCUCUCUCUCUCUCUCUCUAUAUGUAUAUAGAAUUGAGUUCCUAUGUUUUUAAAAGUAACAAGUCAUUGGUGCAUGUAGGUUUUCUGCUCUUAGAAUAAGAGAUGUGCAGUUAGGAUGACAGUAGUGUCUUAGGACUGAGUGAUUGAUUAGUUGAAUAAUAUGAUUUAACGAGUGGAAAUGGUAGUCAAAGGAUAUAUUUAAUUGUGAAAAGUUUAGAAGCAUAAAAUGCUUGGUGCUUUUACAAACACUAUAUAUAUAUAUAUAGGAAUUAGGCUGGAAUACUAUUAAUAGUAAAACGCUCUUUUUGCUAUCAAGUUUUUAACCCUUAGAUGAAAAAUUAUAGGGUCAGGAUGAUAUUAGUCGGUUAGAGUUGAGUGGUCCCCCUAGGAUUGAGUGGUCCCCACUUGGUUAUAGUAUUUAAUUCAAUGGUUAGAAAUAAUGAAAGAGUUAAUCCAAAGGCUAAAAAACUGAUAGCAACAAUGGAAUUUUGCUACUAAUAGUAGCCCAGUCCAACUCUAUAUAUAGAGUUGAGCUAGAAUAUUAAUACCUCUAAACCAAGAGGUUGGUGCUUUUGAGUUUUUAACCCUUGGAUGGAGAGAUAAAAUUAAGGUUGUGAUGAUGGUGGUAGGUGGAAUAGUAUUUGAUCCAAGAGGUUGGUGCUUUUACAAACACUAUAUAUAUAUAUAUAUAUAGAGUUGAGCUAGAAUACUUUCAAAAACACCAAGAGGUUGGUGCUUUUGAGUUUUUAACCAUUGGAUGGAGAAAUGUAAGCUAGGUUGGGAUGAUAGUGGUAGAUGGAAUAGUAUUUGAUACAAGGGCUAUUAGUAAUCAUGGACUAGAUCCAAGGUCUAGAAACCUAGAAGUAAAAAGGGGUUGAUACUUCUAAAAGUAUUCUAGCUCAAUUAUAUAUAUAUAUAUAUAUUUAUAUAUAUAUUAUAUAUAAUUAGGCUGGAAUGCUAUCAAUAAUACUAAGCUAUUGAUACUAUUAGUUUUCGGCUCUGGGGCGANCAAACGAUUUAUUUUAGGAAUAGGAGUAAGUUUAGAUAUAGAAGAGGAAUUAGAUAAAUUUUACAUUUACAUAAAAUUAUAAUAUUUUUAGGAAUAAAAUAAAUAAUAUUUGAAUAAUUAGAUUAGAAUAAGAAAAACAAGAAUUAUAAUUUUAAAUUUAAAUUAUUUUAUCUAAUUAAUUAAUAUCAAAAUAUUACUUAAAAAUAAUUUAAUAAAUUAAUAAAUUUAUUAUCCAUGAAUAUUAUAUACGAUAAUAAAAAUAUGUUAAUUAUUUAUAAAAAAUUAAUUUAACUUUUUAAUUAGUUAUUAAAUUAUUUUAGUCAGAUAAUUAGUAAAAAAAUUAAUUAAAUUAAUACAAAUAUUAAUGGCUGAUCAGUAUAGAUACUAGAUUAAUGAAUAUUUCAAAUAUCAUAAUUAAAAUUAAAUUUAGAUUUUAAUUAAUUUUGUUCCCAACGAGAAACAUAUUCGUUCGAGAAAAAAAGAUAAAACAAUAAUUUCAGCCUUAUAUCAGCUUAUUUCAAAAUUUAUUAUUUUUAGAUAUCAAACACAGUGUUUUACAGCAAAAGGAGAAUAAAGACUUAUUUUGCUCUUUGUUUCCGAACCAAACACUACCACCACGAACAAGCCGAGCACUCGGCUGACAACAAUGAUAGUGUUGGGCCCGUCUCAGUUAAGUUGAGUUGAUUUGACCAGUCCAAACAAAAUGGGCCUAUCGUUGUUUGUAAUGGCCCAAAAUUGUGGACCGGGACUAUACUGGAUUUAUCUUAAAAAUGAAUGGUUGUUGAGACACAAAAUUACGAGAUCUUUACUUUUGCUUUCAUAUCGGCCAUAAAUUGGCUAAAUAUAACAUUGGGAAGCUGAUAUGAGAUUCAUCUUUUCGAUAAUAAGAGAAAAUUGCUAACUUAAAAAAAGUAACAAGAACAUGAAGAUGACAUUUCGAUAAAGAUUAUAAAUAAGAAUACAAAAAAGGGAAAAAAAUAAAGCCAAUGUUGCUUUGUAUAUGCUACAGAAUCUUCCAAUAAGAACGCAUAAUUCAACCUCAAACAUUACUUAUUGUAUCUGACUAAUGACACCAAGAUACUCUACAUCAUGUUUACACCCUCAAAUUUAUAUAUUUAUAAAAAAAAACCGACAAAGCAAGUAAAAGAUGGGCCAAUCAGAUACAAAUUCCAUAAUGUUAGUAUGGUUCAAAUAAACAGUAACGAACCAAGUAUCGAAAAUUUUAUUGAUCUAGAGGAACCCAUUCCAGUUCUAGGUCUAAGUCUCCUGAUUCAACAUUCUGUAGCUUUAGAAACACUUCUUGUUUUACUUUCCCAUCAACUAUUUUGACUGUGCUAUCUUUAAUAAGCGCGUUGUCACUGGUCUUGAACCACUUCCCGAUCUGCAUGUUGCCCAGAAGCGAGGGGUCUCCGAAGGCCAUUGCAGCUGUUAUCAUCGGUUGAAGGUCUAUCUCUGCUUCUCCCAUGAUAUCAUCGGCGGUGAACACAUCGUGAUCAUAUACUUCCUGCAAAUAAUAAAGAGACUCGAUGUUAGAGUAUUGUAUACAUUUAGUGACUAUUGAAACUGCUAGUUUACGGCAUAUUUUGCCGGGCUUGAGAGUUUGAGUUUCUGUAGAAAUACUGUUUGAGUAAAAUUAUUUUAAAAAGAAUUAACAGCUUUCUAUUAAAAAUGCCCAACAGUUUCUUGCUAUCACUAGAAGUAGCAGUUUCAAAUUAUAAGAGCUGCUGUUUCGGUCUGUAGCAGCCCGCAAUAGCCAGAAGGAAGUUUGAUUCGAAAAAGAGCAUGCCAAUAUUUAGAUUACACUGACCAGCUUAAGAGGUCCAUAAUGUUGCGGAACUGAAAAUUUAAGCACUUCAUUCCACACAGGAUUCAGGUUGCUCUUUUUAACUGUUGUCUGAACUUUCUGCGAUAUCCAAUCAAUUGGCAACCAGAGCAAGAAAAGUAAAGAAAAAUGGAAUUUACACAAUGCUGAUGAUCCUUUUUUUCCAAAGUAGAACAACAUUUCUAUAAAAGUAACUUACCUGCUGCCCGAGGGUAAGAACGACAUAUGGAUCACUUGACAGCAUAUCUCUCACAGCUAAGUUUGUUCCUCUUAUAACUUUAACUUUCAAUUCUCCAAUGAACUCUCUCUCAACUUCCUGCUAAUUUGGAAAGCGUUGUGAUUAAGGGACUACCCGCUACAAUAUAACAGUAAUAGCUGUUUGUUAGGUCAAUUGUAUACUGGGGACUUAACAUAUGUGCCCCUGUAAAAUCAUUUAUAUGCCAGUGUACCCCUGCAUAAUCUGGAUUUUCAUAUAUGAUCUUCAAAGUGCAGAUUUUUACACAACUCAGAACAUGGGUUAGUCACCUAUCCUUUUUGGGGAAAGUUAAGAAAUUAAUUUUUUGUAUAAUAUGUAUGAAAAUUCAGAUUUUACACUAGUAGUAACUCAAUGUAAAGUUGCAGCAGUUAUAUCUUGGUGCAACAACUACCUCAAUGAUUUCUUCCAGCAAUAAAGUGAGAGUACAAGAAAGAAGACUUACAUCUUUCUUUGAAGUAUCUGAAACAAAGCUGCUAUCUGAGCUCUUCAUAGAAUCAAAGGAUCUAAAAGACAUCUUUGAAGAGACAAUACGCAAGCUCGGUUUUAAAAAUUCUUGUAACUCAUAUUUCGACCUAUAUAACAGAAAGAAGUGGUUCAAGAUAUGAAACUGGCAGCAAAAAUACAAAAGACAAAACAAAAAAAUAAAUAUUUUUAUUCUCCACCUACCUAAUGAAGUUGCUCCUGUCCUCAUAACUCGAAUCUGCUUUAGGUUUUGGAUAUCGUUUAGGAAGAAAAGCCUCAUAAAUUGAAUUGGCAUAAGAAUUUCCACCAACCUCAACCAUAGAGUCGAUAUCACCAUCUGACCAUUCGUCCAAUGUCACUGACAGAACCUGAAUGAAUAAUAAGAGACAAAGAGAAGAAGGAAAAAGAAUUAUGAGAACAACUAAUAAUGACGGCAUCACAAAAGUCGAAAACCACUCAUUUCUACCUACAGUUACACUCCUUUACUUUUGUUAAUUAAACUGAAAUUAUAUGCAAUGAAGUACACUGGCAAAUGACUGAUUCUUUGCAAUAUAUACAGCUACGGGGUUUGUUUGGCAGCAAAAGAAUAAAUCUAAUGGCAACUUCCUUUCACUUCUUUGGACUCGAAAAAUUAACCAACAAUGUUUUGUUUCUUCUUCUUCUUCUUCUUCUUCUUCUUUUUUUUCUUUUUUUUUUUUUUGCGGAAAAGGUAGCACGCUAUCUGUUUCAUUCAUUGGAAAGGUGAACUAAGCAGCAUGGAUGAGGCAUCGAAGGCCUCGAAGGGGGCGGGAAAAAAAAAACCCGCUAGCAGUUACAAUGGUGCUUGUCGAUUGAGAGAGAUUGCUCCCAUUGUUUCGUCAACUAUUUAAUCCUAAAGAUGCCUAGGAAUGAGUCUGGCUGGGUCUUCCUAAAAAUAGCAUCAUUCCUGACCUUCCAAGUGACCCAUCAGCAGGCUAUUAGUCCGAUUACCCUGGUACCCAAAGAAUGUGUUCCCUUCCUACCUAUCCAUCGAUCCCAGAUCAAAUUCACAUCAUCACCAAAAUCUCUUGAGUGGACAUUUACUAGAGUCGUCACCAUUAAAAAUCUGGAAAAUACGCACCGAGUGAAUAGAUGGUCAACAGUUUCCUCUUCGGUCCCACACAGCACACAGGUUGUAUUGCCAAGCCAUCCUCUCUUAAGGACCAACAAUGUUUGAAACAAGGAAGUUCAUUCGCAGGUGCAAUCCGUCAUAUGGAAUUAGAGUUAAAGAAGGGAGGAAAUGUAACCAAAAGAGGUCUUAAUGAAAAAAUAGUGUACCAUUGCAAAUUAUAGAAAUACAAUACUGAGCAAUUAGUGUCACCAGAGAAUAUAACUGUUUAAAACGUGUCCAAGACAUCAAUAUAGUGUCACUUAUAUAACAGAGAAACAUCAGAAAUAAUUAUAUGACCUUUGAAACAUCAGGCCCAAGGCUCCUGUGAAUGUCACUACACUUUAAGCAUAAGAAUACUCCAAUGUUAGCCGACCUGAAAAAGCAACAAAAAUAUAAUAAUAGUACACAAAAAGAAAACAAAGUUAUGCUGAAACAAUAUUGUCAUCAAGUGCAAUCUGAAGAUGAUCCUAUCGUGUGUCAUAAAUGCACUCAGACAUGUUAUUUGUGUAAAAGCUAAUGGAUUACCAUAAUUUAUAAUCAAACAAGAUAAGGUCUCAAAGAUCACAGAGAGCUUUCGCUUUGUUCACUAUCUUAUAAGGACUCUAGCACUCAUAAUGUGUCUACAGAAUCUAGUAAAAUAGAAUAAAAUAAUUGCCAAAAAAAAAAAUUCUUCUUUGUCUGCAUGGGUUUAUGAUGUCCUAUGUAGCUAUUAAUGGAAUGACAGUGGUUCUAUUCCAGUAGAUAGCAUGCAUUUUUCACCAAAAUGGGGCUGAUCCUAAAAUCUCCUUUAAGGUACUAAUAUAUAUAAUUCUCUCUAUUUCAGACAAGAAAUAAAUGAUAGUUCCCAAUCAUUCAUUACAUCUAAAUAUAAUGGAGAUGUAACCAACAAAACAGAAGACAAAUACUCACGCCCAUUUGGGAUCUGGUGCACCACAGUCUGCACAAAUCCGAUUAUCACUUUUGAGCGUAAGCUCCUUUAAUUUCCUUGCUUUACCUGUAGUACAAAGACAGCAUAGCCAGAAUCCAGAUUUCCAGCAAUAUAUAAUCAAUAAUUCUGAAAAACUUGCAGAUGCUUUUUAUCACUAAGCUGCGAUUACAGAGUAUCUGAAUCUAUUAUGCGUUACAAGAGUAGAACUAGACUAUGAUCAAUAUAUAGUCAUUUUAUGGCAGAAACUUGUAUUUUUCUCAAUUUAAAGUUGAUAAGUAAGCUCAAUGAUAGCUUCAUAAAAUCUGUACCAUCAGAGAAAUCCCUUAUAUAAUACUUUUAACUUUUAAUUAAAGAUGCAACUUUGUUAAUAUAUUAAUGUACUUUUAGUAUUCGUGGUUGUAGCCAUAAAUGUCUCCGUCAAAGUUAGAGGCGCGCUAGGCUAGAAAUGAAAUGGUAUUGAUGAUCAUAGAGUAUCUAUAAAAGCAAUUUCCAAUGAAAAUAUAGCGCCUAACAAUGUCAAAGUUAAGAUUGUUAAACUUGUUCUAUGUUCUUCGUCAUCGAUCAUGCUCUCUUUCUCUAAACUUCCUAUCCUCUAGCUCUAUUGUACCAUAUUAUUUGCUGAAAACAAAAUUCUAUUGCGGAUUUUUUUUUUUUUUGCUGCUUUUGUGCAUUGACGACAUAGAAUACCCAAAUAUGCAGACCGAAUGAAAGAAUUCUCAAACGACGCACCUGUCAAAUAGCGGCUACUCAUCUCUCCACCGUGCCAAAUUUUCAAUGAUUCGCCAAAAUACUGCAAACAUCAAAACUCACUAAACAUUAAUUGACUACUAAAUAUAGAGUGAUAGUCAUAAUAGGAAACCAGUUAACUAUUAAUAAAAUUAUUAUCACUUAUGAAACAGAGAUUGAAGAACUAUUUUUUUUCUCGGAGCAAGUACUAAUAAGAAACUACAUGGAUAAUUGAAUGUAUCACACACAAUUUCACCAAACACAAUAAUACCCUACGUUUGUGUAAAAUACAACACAGUCAAGAACAUCAAAUGAUCGCAAAGUAGAAUACAAAGGAAUCAUCCCUGUAUACAAAUAAAGGGAUUCCAACUACAUAGGAACUUUCACCUUUUAUCCGAUAGCAACCAAAAAAAAAAAAAAAAGGUCAAACAAUGGGAAACCACUUCCAUUCGUUGACCCAGAUAACUAAAUUUUCGAAAUUUCCCAAAUAAAUUCGAAAAACCAACAAAUUGAUCUCUGAAUCGGAUCCCCCAGUUCCGAAAUUAAAAAAAAAAACAAAAACAAAAACAAAGAUUAGAAAACACAAGUAGGGUAUCAUUCAAACCUCUUACGCACGGAGGAUUGGGACCAAGAAGAGGAGCUUCGCAUCUAAAAAAAAAAAUUAACAAACAAAUGGGAAUUGGGCGAAUUGCGGUAGUGGAUUUGCUUCAGAAGACGACGGUGUUGGACUCGCCUAUUAGAAGCUAUAUCUCUCUAUUUUAUUUGUUGCGUAUUUAUACGAGCAAACAAAAAAAAAAANUACAUUUAGGUCCCGUCGUCAUGAUUCCAUCAUUAUUUUGUUAAUUUUUUAUAAUUUAUACUAAAAAUAUUUUUGAAAACAACAAAAAUAAAUUAAAAAAUAAUUUUUUUAUAAAAGAAGUAAGAAUAAAUUAAUUAUUUUGCCCUUUCUAUUAACGUCGUAUUUCUCUGAAAAUUUUUCUGAAAUUUUAAGAUUGCAAAAUAUAAAAUUUUAAAAAUCAGAGAGAAAAAGUGUGUAAUUUAGCCUAUUAAUAAAAUCGGGCACAAUCAAUUGUCCAAAGUUUAAACUAUAAAUUUAGGCCCCGUUUCUUAUUGGAUGUAUGAUUAAAAUUAGAAUUAUUAAUCUCUCGUGAUAAGCUUAUGCAAAAAUGGUAUUGGCUCUUUAUGUUUCACAAGAAAUAAAAAGUUAGUUUUUUUUUUAAAUUUUUACUAUAAUAAUCUCUCUAAAAGCUUUUACUGUAUAACAGUUAGAAAGUUCAUAUGUUCCAACUUUACAUCACAUGAAAAAAAAAAAAAAAGGAAAAAAAAGAGAGGCCUUUUUGAAGAGAUUCUUCAUUCUCAAUGGCAAACUUACAAGUAAAUUACGACAUUAUUAGUGGAGAAUAUAUUGUGCAAAUGUGGAUGCUUUGUUGGUUGGCACCAGAAGUGCACGUCAAUUGCAUGGUCAAUCUCAACCCCACAUGGGUGGCCAUAUUUGAUUGGCUCCAAUAAUCAUUAAUUUAAUGGUUGAUUCGUUGAGCGCAUAGGUUGGUUGUAGCUAAUUUGGCUAUGAUAGUGAUCGUAUUUCAUUCCCUCAAAUGGAUAAAUGGAGAUGCAUUUAGGCUAUCUUUAUCUUCUUUGUAUCAUUCAAAUGUUCUCAUUAUUUUAAGAGUUAGAAAAUAGCACGUUACUCGUUUUAUUUAUUACGAAAAUAAAUUUGGCAAAAUAAAUAAGAUAAAAGGAUUGCAAAGGAAGUAAUACAAAUAUAAAAAUAGAGCAUAAGGGCAGAAAAAGAUGAAAAAAAAAAAGACAACAUAAAAAAAAAAUCUAUUUAUUACUAUAUACUAAAAUAGAACCCUUUAUAAACUCUAUGUAAGAAGCUGACACGUGGCUUUUUAUAUGAUUGCCACGUGUCAAGCUCAAAUAUAGAUUUUUACUAUAUUUAUUAAAUUCAAAUACAUAUACUUUUAUUUAAUUAAUAUUUUUUAUAAUGCUAUUAAAAAUUACCUAUAAUGAAGGAGAUUUUAUUUCAAAGUCACAUAUAAUUAUCAAAGUCAUCUAUAAAUUUGUUGAGAUAUUUGAGAAAUUUACGGAUUUUAUUAAAAAUCAUCUAUAAUAAAGGGAAUUUUAUUUUAAAGUCACCUAUAAUUAUGUUGAGAUAUUUGAGGGGAUAUUAUAUUGCGAAAGAAUUGGCGGGUGCGGAUAUUAUGCGUGAGAAGUAAAAUAUUUAUCUUUAUUUGGGAAUAAAUUAUUACUUAGUUAAUUAUUUGAAAUGAUUGGUUGAAAAUUAUUGGUUGAAAAUUACUGGACAUUAAAAUAUUAGUAAAAAAUGAUAGAGGCAUUUUUGGAAAGAGGAUAAAAUUUAAAACUCACGCUUUUAUAAGUAGUAUAGAUAUAGAUAUUGCAUGUCACUUCCCUAUUAUCACUACUUCUGUAAUUUUCAUUUCGUAAUUUUUUUUUCCCUAUUAUCACUAUUGUAAUUUUCUUAGUUGUUAAAUGUUGAUGCUUUAAAAUAGAAUAUAUUACUUUCAUUUUAUUAUUUAAAUAUGAAGCAAGUAUUAAUUUUUUCCUUAGAUGUCUUAUUGUUCUCAAGAUAUGGCACUUGGGUAUGAUUCUAUACGUGACAUCACUCAUCUUGGAGACAAAUGGAAGAUCAAAGUCAGAGUGAUUUGUCUGUAUACUAUGCCUGAAUUUCAUCGUCCAGAGGUAUUGAAUAGCUUAGAGUUAGUUCUUUCUGAUCAAAAUGUAAGAUACGACUUUUAUUUUCAAAUUGAACAUACGUUUGCUUUAUUUUUACUAAAAGAUACUAUAUAAUUUGUUUAUUUUCUGUUUUAGGAAGAUAGGAUACAUGCAACGGUAGGAAAAGCUUUCUUGAACAAAUUUAAAGAACUUUUUACAGAAGGAAAAGUUUAUGUGAUCAACCAGAGAGUGUGGUAGAGCAGCGGCUCCUACAGGACCACUAUACCUCCUUACAAAAUUAAUUUUCAAUAUUCUAUGGUUUUACGUGAGAUGGAAGAUAUUUUGACAAUAUUAAAGUAUGGAUUUAUAUUUACCCCUUUUGAUGAAAUACUUGCUAAUGUCGCUGAUGACAAAUAUUUAGUAGGUAAGAAUUGUUACAUGCAUCAAAUAUUUAAUUUUUAAAAUUUAAUUUUUAAUAUGUGUAUCUAUUAUAUUGAUUCUUACAUUUUAUUUUUCUAAUUUAUCAGAUGUCAUUGGGAAGCUUUCUGGAAUUAGUAGAAUGGAAGAAAGCUGCAAGGACGAUAAAGAAACAAAAAAAUUAUGAUACUACUUGAGGAUGACAAGUAGGUGCUCAUAAUUAUAAAUAUAUUUUUUGAAUGUUUAUAUGUUUUGAAUCAGUUAGCUGCUUAUUAUUAUAAAUAGAUGACUAGAUUGACAGUUAUAUCAAAAAUAAAUUAUAUUGUAUUUAUCAAUCUGAUAACUUUAUAAUACAACACUCAUGUCUACAUUUUAAAUAACGGUACUUUACGUUCUUUGAGUUUUUCUUGCUGAUAUAAAUAGAAAUAUAAAAAUUAUCUAUCUGAUAUAAUAUAAAUCAAAAAUAAGUAGGCACAUAUAUGAUAUAAAAUAAAUAUUAUUUUUAAAUAUUAUUUUUUAAAAUAAUUUUUAAAUAUUAUUUUUUUAUCAUCAAUUCGGCUUUCUAAUAUGUACUAUAAUUAAGAUUGAUAGUAUAUUUUUUUAUUUGUUAAAAAAAUAUAAUAUUAAUUAAAAUAUUUUUUUAUCAUCACAUAAUAAUAACUUUUAUUAUUCUAUAUUAAUAUAUUAGCCGUGCAUCGCACGGGUCAAAAACUAGUUUAAAACAAAAACUCGAACUCUAAGGCAGCGUUUGGUUAGGGAAUAGGGAUAGGAAUAGGUCCUUAUCCCCCCUUUAUACCCAAAUGCUAAUUUUUUAUUCGAGAAUAGUAGUUCUCGGUUAUCCCUACAAAUACCUUUAUUUUCUAUAUAAAACUAUCUAAAAUUGUUCUUAUCUCCAAAAACAACUCAAUUUUCAUCCAAACACUUUUUCUUAUCCCCAUACUUGUACCUAUUUCUGUAAUAACUAGUUCUUCCUUAUACCUGAACCAAACGGUACCUAAACACGCACCAAUUGAAUAUACAGUCACACCACUACAUCAGAGCUCUCUUAAUUUUUUCAAUGAUGAACAUUGGAUCUAACGUUACCCCAUUCUCCUUUCGGUCGAGAGAGAUGCUUCUAGACCGAGGAAGGUUUUUAGGUUCGAAGCCGCUUGGUUACAACAUGAUGACUUUGUAGCCAAAUUGCCUGGCUGGUGGCAGGAGGGGGCGAAGAAAAAUUCGGCUUUACUAACGUUCACUGCAAAACUGAGGCAUUGUAGAAAUAGGAUUAAGGAGUGGUGCGCUAAUGAGUUCUAUAGUAUUAAGGAACACAAAGCUAAGUUAAUGGAUGAAAUCCAAGUGAUCGAUAAUGAGGAGGAGAGGGGCGACUUAUCCCAGGAUACAGUUAUACAGAGGGAGAAGCUUAAGGCUAAACUUAUUAGGGUGCUUAAAGACGAAGAAGCGGUGUGGCGGACCAGAGCGAAGCAACACUGGCUAAAAGAAGGAGAUAGCAAUACAAAAUUUUUUCAUGCGGUAGCAAACAGUAGAAGGAGAAUGAACAGGAUCGAAACGUUGGAAGAGGGUGAUAGGAUAUACUAUUCGGAAGGGGAUAAGAAGCGACACUUAUUCCAAAAAUUCCAUGAGCUUUUCACGACGGACGAAUCAGCUCCAACUUCGGUUGGGGAUUGGAGCAAUCUCUUCACACUCAGACGCGUUAAUUUCGACAACCUGACUCAAAUUUCGGGGCCUUUUAGUAUAGGCGAAAUUAAACAGGCAGUCUUCCAAUUGGGGAGGGAUAAAGCACCGGGACCCGACGGUUUUCCAUUGAGUUUUUAUCAAACCUUCUGGGACACGAUCCAAGGCGACCUUUUGAACCUUUUUCUCGAGAUGUUUGAAGGGAGCCUGUCCACCGGCCCCAUUGACUACACUUACAUCUGCUUAAUUCCUAAGAAGGAAGGUGCCAAACGGGCUGCUGACUUCAGACCUAUUAGCCUCCUUAACGGGAUUCAGAAGAUCAUUUCUAAGGUUAUAGCUAAUCGAUUGGAACAGGUUUUGAGCAACAUAAUAUCCCUCUCCCAAUCGGCUUUUCUGAAGGGGAGAAACAUCAUUGAUGCUUUUGUAACCGUUAGAGAGCUUUUAGGGUGGGCAAGUAGGACGGGGGAUGAGGGGGUCGGGGUAAAGGUGGAUUUCGAAAAGGCUUACGACAGAAUUUAUUGGCCUUUCCUGUUUAGCUGUUUACACUGGUGGGACUUCGACGAAAAGUGGUGUAAUUGGAUCAAACUAUGUGUCUGCAACGCCAAGGUUGCAGUCCUGAUUAACGAUGACGUCACCAAUUGGAUUAAAACGAAGAGGGGCAUACGACAAGGGGAUCCGCUCUCCCCUUUUCUUUUCUUACUAGUCGCGGAAUGUCUUGCCAGACUGACGAAUGAGGCUAUUCGUAACAAUCUCAUUGUAGGCAUCGGUCCCACUGAGACAUCCAGAACUACCCUCAUUCAAUUUGCAGACGAUACCUUCUUCUUCUGUAAAGCCAAGAAAAGAUGUUUGAGAAACCUAAAAUUCAUUUGGCAACUCUUCGAAUGGGCAUCUGGAUUGAGAAUUAAUAGAGAGAAAUCGGAAGUCUACUAUACUGGUCACACACAGGGAAAGGACAGUUGGAUUGCGCAUUUACUCGGAUGUAGAGUGGGUACUCUACCCACUAAGUAUCUGGGGUUGCCCUUGUCGAUCAAACCACCUUCCAAGGAGGACUAGAGGGGGAUCAUCUGUAAAAUUCAAAGUAGAAUCGACGGGUGGCAGGGUAAACUUCUUUCAAGCGGGGGUAGACUUAUCCUUGUAAAAGCAGUACUCUCCAAUCUACCCCUAUACUAUCUCUCGGUCUUUACGACCCCUAAAUGGGUAAUCAAGCGUAUAGAGACUGUACGCAGAGAUUUUUUCUGGACAGGACAGUUGUCUAACCCAGGAAUAAGAUGUCUGGUUUCAUGGCAGAAUGUUUGCCGUAACAAGAAGGAAAGCGGACUAGGCAUUCUCGACAUUACUACGAUGAACCAAGCCCUACUUGUUAAGUGGUGGUGGAAAUUUCUAACUGCUCCCCUGUUACAGUGGAAUAAUCUUAUCCACGAAUUGUUCUAUCGUAGAAGAAGACCGUUGAAGGAGGGACGAUCGUUUAGACCACCUUCGUAUUGGUGGAAGGGUGUACUAAGUAUGAAGGAAAUUUUUAAAUGGGGAGCUUUUUAUAAGCUGGGUAACGGACGACACAUCGACUUUUGGGAGGACCGUUGGUGUGGGGAAACAACGCUACGUUCGUCGUUCCCUGAAUUGUUUCACUUAUCACCUGGUAAAAACCUGAAAAUCUGUGACGGGUUGAAUAGCAACGGUUGGUGCUGGGAAACGAUUCUUGGUGGUGACACUUCUGUUAAUCCUAGUGUUUGCCCUGACAUUACUGCUCUUAAGGGCAGAAUUUCCAAUGUUUCAAUUAGUCAGGGGCAGGACAGUGUACAUUGGCGUUGGAGCACCGACGGAUGUUUUACGGUGAAGUCAACUUAUUCAACUUUGGGCGACGGAGGCAUGAGGGAUGCCCGUUCGAGCAAGAUCUGGUCUUUACGCCUGCCUUUAAAAGUGAAAGUGUUCUGUUGGCUUGUCCUUAAGAAGAGAGUGCUUACUGCUGACAAUUUGGUUAAGAGGGGAUGGGUCGGCAACACGAAAUGCAUGCUGUGUGGACUGGAAGAGGAAACAGCCGACCACCUAUUCACACAAUGCGUAGUUACCAGAUUCCUAAUGGCGACGACCCAGGAGAAUAUUCAGCUAGGAGAUCUGGGAGAGGAAGUGCGUCAAGUGUGGGAUAGAUGGGCAGGAUGUACGAGAUCACAAUCGACCUCAACCAGUCUCAUAGGCCUGAUAGCCUGCUGGUGGGUCUCUUGGGAUUCUAGGAACAGAGCGAUCUUCACGGCGACCAAGAACAACCCAAUAGCCUGUAUUUAUAAGAUUAAGCAGUUGACGGACCUGUGGUGGAAACUUAGUCCAAAGAAGUGAUCGAUCGAACUUUUUUUUUUUUUUUUUUUUCGUCCGUCCCUCGUCGAGACCUUGUUGCCUCACCCAUGUAGCUUAAUUCACUUACUUUCUGAAUGAAACGGGUAGCGCGCUACCUUUCUCUCAAAAAAAAACAUUGGAUCUAAUUUGUUUUGUCUAUAAAUCACAUUAUUCCUUUUUCACCGGAUUAGCCACCGGCUUGCUGUUAAAAUGCUCAGUCUCUAUGCAGCGGAUUGAGCAGGUCCAUCAUACUUGUCCAUUCUUAUGAGACUUUGAAAUCCGUCACACUCGUUAUAUCAAAACUACCAUCAGGAAUAAUACAAGUAUGAACCGACAAUAUAUACGUACAAUCUAUGAAAAAGUGAAUGGUUAUUAUCUCAAUUUUAACUCUAUUAAAAACACAAGUCUAGUUUUCCAACCAUCCUUUUUUUUAUCAGAGUGUCUAUUGUAAGUAUGCGCUUUUUAAGUGCAAGCCAUAAGAAAACCUCGUUCUCUCUUUUUUUUUUGUGUAAAUGCGCAUAUACGCGUACUCUAAAUUAUCAUUUAUAUUGCUUAUUUGAUUCUUCUCGGCCGAAAUUUUAAAUUUUAAUCUUUAAAUUGGCAUUGUCAAAGAGUCAGGAAUAUAUAAAUAUUUCUAAAUCUAUCUUUGAAUGAAUUGCUUAUACUUAGAAACAGUAAUUGCUUAUUUCUUAAAAAGAGAUUUAAAAUUUGUUCAUAAUAUGAAUCCGAACAUAAUAAUAAAUCCAAAUAAAUUUUCUAAUUUAAAACUUUUACUUUUGCUAUUAAAGAUUACAUUAAUACAAAUCUAAUUUGAUAUGUUUUGAAUUUUUAAUUUAGAGAGCCGGAACGGUCUCCCGGUCUUCCAACGUGCUUUCUUCUCCUUCCCCUCCCCCCUCUCUCUCUCUCUCUCUCUCUCUCUCUCUCUCCUCGCAAUUGACCCAAAAAAAACCAAAACAAAGGGAAAAAACAGAGCAUAGUUUCUUCGAAAUUAAUAGAUCGGCAUCUCGAGAUUUCCCAGAUUGAUCCGUUCAUGGCGACGACGCAGUUGUACGGAUCGGUGGUGGCGCCGAGGAGGAGCAUCGUGCCUUGUAAUGGCGUUCGCUUCUCGCCCUUGUCGUCUAGGGUUUCGUCCCACAUCUCUGCGGGGUUCGGGGGGACGUUCUCUCUCGGCCUCGUCAUUAAGAACCCGAUCUUUGUCGCCUCAAAGGUUUCGCACCGAUUUGUUACAGUUUGAUACUAUCCAUGCUGCUUGAUCUUGUUUGCUUCAGUUUUUACUUUAAUUUUGUUUUUUUUUUUUUAAUUUUGACUGGCCACGAAAAUGGCGUCGUCGAAACCCUAAAACUAAUAGCUUCAGGGUCUUAGUCGGGCCAUCAAAGGGGUGAGGAACAAUUUAAAGAGGCAUUCGUCUUGAAAAUGAGAUCCAUAUCUUAAUCACGGUGCAUAUAUAUCAUACGGUUUCUUUCAUAAACCCUAAUUGUGGAUUAUUCCAGGACAAUGCGCUAUGUGUUUCAGUGAAACAAAUGCUUCUACUCACCUACUACUGCUAGCAUGCAUAAUGAUGAUGUCCUUUUGCGUCUCACUGAUUCAAUGCAAUUGAAAAAGAUCGAUUUGAAGGUGAUUUCCUUGGUUAUGUGGUGUUUGGCCUCUUAGAUAUGCAAAUAGCUAGUUUGUGUAGUAUUAGAGUUUAACGACUAUACAAAGAGACAAUGGCAUAAAAAGCAUGCUAAGAGUAAUUCUAUAGUCAUUGUGAUGAAGAUGUUUCCUCUAACAGUAAGGAAUAUAGCCUUUAUUUUUGAUUUUUAUGUAGUUUACUCUAAAUAGUUAGGAACAUACGUCAUCUACGUAUCCUUUAUUACAUCAUCCUCGUCAAGCACUGGGUAUGAUGUCUGAGAUUGUGUUUGGGGAAUGCGUUUAAUCAACUUUUGCUUGUCCCAUGCGAUGAUGUUAGUUAUGCCGACGAUCACUUCUUUCACUGAACAGGGAUUAGGAUUCGAGAGGAAAGCAAUAAAAGGUGUAUCUUGCUUCAUGCAUCACGGAAAUAUACCAGUGGUGUCUUAUUGAGUCCUAAUUUGUUAUUUAUGUGCUUUUUUAUUGCAGCCAUCAAUUUCAAUGUCUGUAAAGGGAAAUAGUAUGAGAGCUCCUGGUUUUGUAGCUAAUACUGCUAUAAGGUACACAGAUGACCAAACUCAGGAGCCCAUGGAGUCUAAUUUAACUGUGGAGCCAGUUGAUGAAAACACAAAGAUGGAUAAAGAGGUGGCUCUUCNAAAAAAAAAAAAAAAAAAACUAACUAUUUCCAGCUAUUACAGAAGCUCGUUUCCUCCUCGGUGCGGCUUUGAACGAACUAGACCUACUAAUGUGAAUCUUAAACAUGGUCGGGCCCACUUGCGCAUUACAAAUAGGUACAAAAUAAUAAUAAAAAAUAAUAAUAAUAUUUUUUUUUCGUAAAACUAAUAUUUUUAAAGUUAUUUAAUAAAUUUAUUUAUCCAUCUUAAAAUUAUUUUUAUUAAAAAUCCUCUUAUGCAUAGUUAUAAACCAAUUUUUUUACUUUCUCUUCCUAACUUUCAAAAUUCGGUAUUUACAUUCUCAAUAUCUCAAGUUGUUACAUUUAGGUCCCGUCGUCAUGGUUCCAUCAUUAUUUUGUUAAUUUUUUAUAAUUUAUACUAAAAAUAUGUUUAAAAACAACAAAAAUAAAUUAAAAAAUAAUUUUUUUAUAAAAGAAGUAAGAAUAAAUUAAUUAUUUUGCCCUUUCUAUUAACGUCGUAUUUCUUUGAAAAUUUUUCUGAAAUUUUAAGAUUGCAAAAUAUAAAAUUUUAAAAAUCAGAGAGAAAAAGUGUGUAAUUUAGCCUAUUAAUAAAAUCGGGCACAAUCAAUUGUCCAAAGUUUAAACUAUAAAUUUAGGCCCCGUUUCUUAUUGGAUGUAUGAUUAAAAUUAGAAUUAUUAAUCUCUCGUGAUAAGCUAAUGCAAAAAUGGUAUUGGCUCUUUAUGUUUCACAAGAAAUAAAAAGUUAGUUUUUUUUUUAAAUUUUUACUAUAAUAAUCUCUCUAAAAGCUUUUACUGUAUAACAGUUAGAAAGUUCAUAUGUUCCAACUUUACAUCACAUGAAAAAAAAAAAAAAAAGAAAAAAAAGAGAGGCCUUUUUGAAGAGAUUCUUCAUUCUCAAUGGCAAACUUACAAGUAAAUUAGGACAUUAUUAGUGGAGAAUAUAUUGUGCAAAUGUGGAUGCUUUGUUGGUUGGCACCAGAAGUGCACGUCAAUUGCAUGGUCAAUCUCAACCCCACAUGGGUGGCCAUAUUUGAUAGGCUCCAAUAAUCAUUAAUUUAAGGCUAAAUUACAGAAAAAUCCUCUGUAAUAAUCUGCUUUUUUACUUUCCCCUCCUGACAUUUAAAAACCUACACUUUGCCUCCCUGUAAAAUGAAAAAUGUUCACAGGAGGGUUACGGUGUGUAAAAUGACCAUUUUGCCCCUCGCCAUUGUCGUCUUCUUUCCCAUCUUCUCCAGCCGCCCCUUCGUUCGGCCGCGAUUCCUACCUCAAUCGACCACGAUUUCUCUCCAUUUCCUUCUCCACAUGCUCCCCUUCUUCUCCUACACCCUUGCCGUCCUCGAUUUCGGCGACAGUAGGAGAAAAUCGAGAUAGACGACAGUAAAAGAAGGGCAAAGAGGGUGAAGGCGAGGCGGCGAAGGAUGGCGAAGGGGAUGUGGGUGAGGGCGAGGCAGUGGAGGACGGCGAGGCGGCGAGGCGGCGGCGAGGUGGCGAGCCGGAGGGAGGCGAAGCAACAAGGAGAUGGCGGAGGGGUAUUUUCGGCAUAAAAAUAUUUUUUUUAACGGAUCCCUAACGGAACCCUAACGGUAGGGGGUGAAGUGCAGACUUUUUAUUUUACAGGGGGGCAAAAUGUAGGUUUUUAAAUGUCAGGGAGGGAAAGUGAAAAAUCGGAUUAUUAUAAGGGGGUUUUCUGUAAUUAAGCCUUAAUUUAAUGGUUGAUUCGUUGAG